GACGAACGCUGGCGGCGUGCUUAACACAUGCAAGUCGAACGGAAAGGCCCUGCUUUUGUUGGGUGCUCGAGUGGCGAACGGGUGAGUAACACGUGAGUAACCUGCCCUUGACUUUGGGAUAACUUCAGGAAACUGGGGCUCAUACCGGAUAGAAGCUCCUGCUGCAUAGUGGUGGUUGGAAAGUUUCGGCCGUUGGGGAUGGACUCGCGGCUUAUCCGCUUGUUGGUGGGGUAGUGGCUUACCAAGGCUUUGACGGGUAGCCGGCCUGAGAGGUGUACCGGCGACAAGGGGACUGAGAGACGGCGCAGACGCGUACGGGAGGCAGUAGUGGGGAACAUUGCAGAAUGGGCGGAAGCCUGAGGCAGAAACGCCGCGUGCGGGAUGAUGGGUUUCGGGUGAUAAACCGCUGUCGCAGGUGACGAAGCGGGAGUGACGGUAACGGGUAAAGAAGCACCGGCUAACUACGUG
rnacentral:rRNA from 1 species